UCCCUGGUGGUCCAGUAGUUAGGACUUGGCGCUUUUACCGCCAUGACCCGGGUUCAAUCCCUGGUCGAGGAA